ensembl:lncRNA
UCACACACCGAGAGGGGAACGAGACGAGAGCGAGAGAUCUGGAACAAACCAGGAGCAGAAAGAGUGUGUGAGAAAGUGCACCAGAGGCCAAAAGAAGUAACAGACAGAAACUCGAAGAAACUCCAACAAAAAGAUGGCUAUUGGCAGGAACUCCAGGAUGAGCUCAGUCCGAAGCUCCAUCAGGGCCCCAAAGUUUCUGGACAAAUCGAGUGGCUUCUAUGGUCGCCUCGACGAGCCCGAGGCCGCCACAGAGGUAGAGGAGACUGGUGUAAAUGUUUGCAACAUAGAGGAGGCAGUCUCGAGUGACCCAUCCAUCACAGCGGUGCAUUGUUCUGAUGAGAAGGAAGAAGGCGAGGUGUUUGGCUUCAGCGAAGGCAUGAUGGAAGAUGACGACGAGAGCCUCCUGAGGAGGAAACCCAGCCGCCGCAGCAGCAGGUGGAGGAGAAGCUCCAGGAGGAAGCAGAAAGAGGGGAGAGCAGACGAGGACGCAGCCAGAGAGGAGAGGCCCAGCCUGGGCACGGAGGGUCCAGCUGACUUCCCCGAGGACAUCAGGGUGAAGAUUGAGAUAGAGAUGGAGAACCUGAAGAAGGUGGAGGAAGAAAAUGAAAAGGCGGGCUGGGAGAAGGAACCCGUGCUCGUUCACUUCCCGGCUCGGGAGGACGCUGACGACCAAGUCCUUAUCCGAGACAAGAAGAGAGGAAGAGAAGACGAAGAGGAGGAGGAGAGGAGGAUGACGAAGGAGCAAGAGGAAGGGAUGAAAGUGGUGAAGAGGAAAAAUUACCGCAAGGCCUUGGACCGAGCACUGCGCCGCGGCUGGGAGGCCUUCGUCGCCAACCUCUACAGCGUCACGCUCUCACCGGUGAACUCCUCGCCAUCGUCGUCUUCACCGUCGUCGAAGAAGAAGCACCAGCACAAUUCAGUGUUAGCAGAAUUUCAAUAGAAAUGGAGAUAGAGAUGGACAAUGAAGCUUGAGGCUUCUUAACUUUUAAUAAUAUCAGGGUCAUGCAGCGUUUUACCGCGACUGCUGCAAAGUAUCGGACAAUCCUGCCUGUAUAACAUUUACCACAUGACGUGUCUGAGUCAUCACCUCAGGAAUAUUAAUCAAUUAUGUAACUUACUGAGUCUUGAUUACUCAGCUGAACCUUUAUCGCCUUAUUAGGAUGCACCUUAGUCAGGACACAAACUGCAGGGAUCCACUUUAGCUCGAUGGGCUGCUGGUUUUACAGUGAAGUCUAUGAGACUGGCCUGAACAGAAAUCCCUGGUCUUUAUCUGACUGAUGGACUUUAGCUGUGGAGUAAUACAUACUUCUGUAGGAUUAACCGUGGUGCUCGUUGCCUAAUCAGACAAGCUAUUUAUGAGUAAAUAGUAUGCAGUAAAUCAGUAAUUAAACUUUAUUAGGGAUUCACAUUAUUAUGGACACAUUCUAUUAUUUAUGUAGGCUUUAUUGCAAGUGAAAAAGACGGACAGGGUCCAACCUUGUGCAAAGGAAUAUGUAAGAGUUUCUAUUAGAGCUUUUUAGCUUUUUCCUCAUGAGGUCCCUGCGUGUGUUCUAGUGAAGGUUAUUAAACCUGAAGGGACAGAGCAGGGAGGUGUAAGCUUAGAUGUCCGUCCAGAAAAAGAUAAUGCUUAUUUUUGGUCAAAAAAGUCAUAUUAAAUAGUGCAUAUUUUCUCUAUUUGAAUGCAAAGUUGUGUCUUUUUUAUGUGUUUGAUUUGUAAAACUGACGACUGUAUUUAAGAACUAUUAAUAAUGGACGUUUGUAGAUGUGACAAAAAUGCAAUAAAUGGUCUUUAAUUUUCAAACAUUC